UGUCUUAUUUUCCCCAAUUGCUUCCCCUUCAUUAUUUUCCCCCAUUUACUUUUCACAAUUUGAAUUUGGGUUAAAUUCUAAUUUCUUAAAAGAAACCCUACAUUAAAAUUAGUGUUCCAUUAGCUUUCGUUCACAAUUAGCGUUCUAAUUUCUCAUAUUCCUCACCGAAUCUCCCUGCUGUGAAGCUCCCGAGGUCAUUUUACAUUCUCUUUGGAGUCAAGUGUCAUCUCGUAUGCAACAAGGAGUCCUCAAUGAUUUUAUGAAUUGAUGGUGAUGUGAAAGAUGAAGUCGGUUGAUAUGAUACUAAAAUAAUUUGCAGUUGGUACUUGAACGGACCUCUCAUAAGGUUUCAUGAAGUGUUAUGUCAUAGGCUCUUCAAGAGCACAUUGCCUUCUUAUUAUAAUUAUUUACCCCUUAUCCUUUUCAAAGAUUAUUUCAUUUGGAACCUAUUAGUCUAUCAUGCUUCACGCAUGCAUAGAGUUUGUCCUUCAGGGACAUAAAAUAGGAGCACUUGCAGCUUAAAUAUGAGAUGCUUUCGGCAUUUGACUUGAAUUAUCUAGUGAUUAUUGCUAACAUAUUUCAUAGCCGCUUAUAAUCCCCCCCUUAUUUUAGGAAAACUAACAUACAUCCUCUGCUUCUUUGAGGAAUCCAUCUUUGUGUAUCAAUAUAUAUUCAUUAAUCGUAUACCGUACAUCAAAUUUUUUUAGAUAAAA